rnacentral:lncRNA from 1 species
GUCAAACAUUCAGCAGCAUUCAACACAAGUGAGCAGCACUUUGAAAAACAAGAUGCUCAUGUUGCCCCAGGAGAGCUCAUCUUUCAAGCAAAUAUGGUACUGUGAUGUUAACAGAAAGAAAACAACACCAAAACCUGGAAUCUGUGAGCUGGCAGUUCAUUAUCUUGGUUUAGUCCCCAUCUCUUGGGACUUUCACUUCCCCAGCUGUCUCUAUGAGCUUCAACAGCUCAGAAAAGUUGGCACCCAGGAAUAAGCCAUGCCUCAUAAGUAUGGGACCUUGUAAAGCAAAGCAUGUUCUGAAAGAAUAGUACCUCCUUGUCAGCUAAGCUCUUCAUUUCUGAGCCUCUCUCAGGUAUGUGGGAAAUCUCUUAAUCGCUUUAUCUCCAAGUUUGCAUGUGAAGAAACACAUACAUCUUACACUUGAUUAUGUAUGCAAGAGACAGUGAUUAAGUUACAAAAUUUCACCAGAUUUUUUUUUUUUUUUUUUUUUAACCUUGCUUGAAAGCAGUGUAAAGUUGACCAGAAAGAAUAUCAGGACAUUUUAUAAACUGACAGCAGCUAUGUAUUGCAAUAUGUAGAUUAGUGAAUUCCCCAAUAAUGCUGAGCUAAAAUUACUUCUGGCAUCCCCUUUACAUGUAUUAUUUAUGAGAGCUAUCUAAAUUUAUGGCAUGGUAUUGAGCCUUCUCAAAAACUCAGGAAACCUUAAGGGCAUAACGUGUACAUAAAAUGCAUUGGCAUACUACAUUUCUGAAGGUAAAGGUAGGAUGCUACCCUAAACUGAGUUUAAUUGAUUGGAGAAAAUAAAAAACAAACAAACAAAAACA